rnacentral:rRNA from 1 species
CGACCGGCGCACGGGUGAGUAACACGUAUCCAACCUGCCGUCUACUCUUGGACAGCCUUCUGAAAGGAAGAUUAAUACAAGAUGGCAUAGUUCUUCCGCAUGGUAGAACUAUUAAAGAAUUUCGGUCAUCGAUGGGGAUGCGUUCCAUUAGGUUGUUGGCGGGGUAACGGCCCACCAAGCCUUCGAUGGAUAGGGGUUCUGAGAGGAAGGUCCCCCACAUUGGAACUGAGACACGGUCCAA